rnacentral:rRNA from 1 species
AGAGUUUGAUCAUGGCUCAGAUUGAACGCUGGCGGCAGGCCUAACACAUGCAAGUCGAACGGUAACAGAAAGCAGCUUGCUGCUUUGCUGACGAGUGGCGGACGGGUGAGUAAUGUCUGGGAAACUGCCUGAUGGAGGGGGAUAACUACUGGAAACGGUAGCUAAUACCGCAUAACGUCGCAAGACCAAAGAGGGGGACCUUCGGGCCUCUUGCCAUCGGAUGUGCCCAGAUGGGAUUAGCUAGUAGGUGGGGUAACGGCUCACCUAGGCGACGAUCCCUAGCUGGUCUGAGAGGAUGACCAGCCACACUGGAACUGAGACACGGUCCAGACUCCUACGGGAGGCAGCAGUGGGGAAUAUUGCACAAUGGGCGCAAGCCUGAUGCAGCCAUGCCGCGUGUAUGAAGAAGGCCUUCGGGUUGUAAAGUACUUUCAGCGGGGAGGAAGGGAGUAAAGUUAAUACCUUUGCUCAUUGACGUUACCCGCAGAAGAAGCACCGGCUAACUCCGUGCCAGCAGCCGCGGUAAUACGGAGGGUGCAAGCGUUAAUCGGAAUUACUGGGCGUAAAGCGCACGCAGGCGGUUUGUUAAGUCAGAUGUGAAAUCCCCGGGCUCAACCUGGGAACUGCAUCUGAUACUGGCAAGCUUGAGUCUCGUAGAGGGGGGUAGAAUUCCAGGUGUAGCGGUGAAAUGCGUAGAGAUCUGGAGGAAUACCGGUGGCGAAGGCGGCCCCCUGGACGAAGACUGACGCUCAGGUGCGAAAGCGUGGGAGCAAACAGGAUUAGAUACCCUGGUAGUCCACGCCGUAAACGAUGUCGACUUGGAGGUUGUGCCCUUGAGGCGUGGCUUCCGGAGCUAACGCGUUAAGUCGACCGCCUGGGGAGUACGGCCGCAAGGUUAAAACUCAAAUGAAUUGACGGGGGCCCGCACAAGCGGUGGAGCAUGUGGUUUAAUUCGAUGCAACGCGAAGAACCUUACCUGGUCUUGACAUCCACGGAAGUUUUCAGAGAUGAGAAUGUGCCUUCGGGAACCGUGAGACAGGUGCUGCAUGGCUGUCGUCAGCUCGUGUUGUGAAAUGUUGGGUUAAGUCCCGCAACGAGCGCAACCCUUAUCCUUUGUUGCCAGCGGUCCGGCCGGGAACUCAAAGGAGACUGCCAGUGAUAAACUGGAGGAAGGUGGGGAUGACGUCAAGUCAUCAUGGCCCUUACGACCAGGGCUACACACGUGCUACAAUGGCGCAUACAAAGAGAAGCGACCUCGCGAGAGCAAGCGGACCUCAUAAAGUGCGUCGUAGUCCGGAUUGGAGUCUGCAACUCGACUCCAUGAAGUCGGAAUCGCUAGUAAUCGUGGAUCAGAAUGCCACGGUGAAUACGUUCCCGGGCCUUGUACACACCGCCCGUCACACCAUGGGAGUGGGUUGCAAAAGAAGUAGGUAGCUUAACCUUCGGGAGGGCGCUUACCACUUUGUGAUUCAUGACUGGGGUGAAGUCGUAACAAGGUAACCGUAGGGGAACCUGCGGUUG